CUACGGGCGGCUCCAGUGGGGAAUAUUGCGCAAUGGGGGAAACCCUGACGCAGUUACGCCGUGUGAGUGAUGAAGGUUUUCGGAUCGUAAAGCUCUGUCAGACGGGAAGAAUAAGAACAGUAAAAAUAUUGCUGUUUGAUGACGGUACCGUCAGAGGAAGCACCGGCUAACUCCGUGCCAGCAGCCGCGGUAAUACGGAGGGUGCAAACGUUGUUCGGAAUUACUGGGCGUAAAGCGCAUGUAGGCGGAUAUGUAGGUCAGAUGUGAAAUCCCUUGGCUCAACCAAGGAAGUGCAUCUGAAACCCCAUAUCUUGAGUACGAGAGAGGGAAGUGGAAUUCCCAGUGUAGAGGUGAAAUUCAUAGAUAUUGGGAAGAACACCGGUGGCGAAGGCGGCUUUCUGGCUCGUAACUGACGCUGAGAUGCGAAAGCGUGGGGAGCAAACAGGAUUAGAUACCCGUGUAGUC
rnacentral:rRNA from 1 species